rnacentral:lncRNA from 1 species
CAGGAACAAUAUCUACAUUUAAAAUGGAAACAUGAUUCCUCUAUUUUACUAAUAUCUUCUCCCUUUUUUCUGCUUUUAAACCCGUGAAGUUGUAAUCUCCUAGAAGAUAUCAAUCAUCAACCUAAAUCUCCUUAAAUCGGAUAUAUAUCAUCAAUACAAAUCAGUAUAUUAGUUCCUUCUUUAUUCUUUAUCUCCCCCGUUUCUCGCUAUAACCCUAUCAGAGACGACUAAGAAGGAGAAGCCAAAUUUCUGUUAAAUAAUUGUUUCUAAGAAACAACCAGAACAUUCAUGAUUGAUCUCUUCCAGGAGAUUACAACUCCAAAAGCUUCAAUUUUUGAGAUUUCCGGCGAGGCUGAUCGCAGAUCCGAUCAUCGUUGAUCUUUCGGUUGAAGGCUGUUGUUUAAACCCCCAUUUUUUCGAUAAUCAUCGUUGUUCAUCCUCUCCAUUAAUUUCCUUAUUCUCGAGCAAAUCCAAUCAGAUGUAAACUUUAUUCGUUGAUCUGUUAAUUAGGGUUUUCAUGCAUAUUUCAAUCGAUUUUUUAAAUUAGUGCUUCUGCAGAUUGUUUUGAAGUGUUCGCGUAUUAUAUCUGUGUAUAAUAACGUGAGUAUUUCGUUAUUCGAUUUUUUAUUUUAUCCAUAGAGAAGUCCACUGCUCAUUCCUAGAUUUUUUUAGCGUAAGGAGAGUGUAAUUUGAAAUUUUGAGGUUAGGUUUGCUUUAAAAAUGCAAAUGUAGAACAUUUAAAUUUCGUUGAUCACAUUAUAAAACCAAUAUAGAUGAGAAUGAGUUAAAAUAUCAUUUGUCUUGAGGUGUGCUUGCAGCUUUGUUCUUGUCUAUUUGUUCUUUGAAAUUACUUAACUAUAUUUAACAAUAGACAAAUUAACUUCUGGAUUAAAGUUUUGUUUUAUGGAUAUACACUUUUACUACUAAGAUGUUGUGUGGAAGUUACAUGUCAAUCUCACUAUAUGUUUGAUAUGCGAUUCCAAUCUUUUUAGGAGUAAUUACAUGGAAGAUGAAAUAUGGUGCUUCUACAAGUCACUAACGAUGCUGCUUUGUGGUCCUACUCAACUUUCAUGAGUUACGGAGUUUGUUUGCAAUAUAUAUUGUUUACUUGGUGUUUCAAUUGAUUAUUUAUGCUGAUUAGGUGCAGGACUCUAUACAUUUUGGCUUGCCGAUUUCUCUGUACUCUUUGUUAAGGUGCAUUAUUUGUUGGGUGCUCAGCUAAUUAGUGAGAUGUAAUCUUUGUACCUUUUCCCAAUUCUCUUCUGGACAUUUUCUUUUUUUAAUAUAAUAUUCUCCUAUGUUAAUUUCUUUUCUUCAAAAGUGAGAUUUUUUACUUAUAUACCCUCACCCUAACCAAUUGUUUAAUAGUGAUAUGUGUUUUGUUAGUUUAAUUUCUCAUGAAACUUAAAUCUGUUUAAUGGUGAUGUGUUUUAUUAGUUUAGAUUAUUAAUAAAUUUAAUCACGUUGUUUGUUAUUUUUGGUGUAAAUAAGAUCUUUGACUGAGUUUUCGUUUUUCAAAGUUCACGGAAUAGAUAUAUUUGAAAUGAGAGUUGGAUACUUUAAAAUGGGAAAAUCAUAAAUAAAAGUACUUAGAUAUCGUACUCUGAAGCUUAUCUGAAAGUUGGAUCCUAUAAAAUUUGAAAACUUGAAAAUUAAUUUAUCAGGUUAAAUAACUUUAAAGUAAUAAAGAUGAUAAGCUAAAUUUAGUUAAUAGUAUAAUAGAGCUAAAAAAAAAUGGUAAACCGUCCCAAAACCAAUGUAAAAUGUCAAUACGGAACAAUUACAAUAUUUUCGGUGUAUUUUGCAGGUA